rnacentral:rRNA from 1 species
UGGGUUGUUGCUGGCCCCCGAACGGGACAUGUGCACGCUCUGUUUACACAUCCACUCACACCUGUGCACCCUCUGUAGUUCUGUGGACCGGGAGACAUCGUCUUCCUUCCGUAGCUCUACGUCUUUACACACACACCGUAGCGACGUCUCAUGGAAUGUUUUUUCGCGUUUAACGCAAUACAAUACAACUUUCAGCAACGGAUCUCUUGGCUCUCGCAUCGAUGAAGAACGCAGCGAAAUGCGAUAAGUAAUGUGAAUUGCAGAAUUCAGUGAAUCAUCGAAUCUUUGAACGCACCUUGCGCCCCUUGGUUAUUCCUCGGAGCAUGCCUGUUUGAGUAUCAUGAACACCUCAACUCUCAUGGUCUUCCAUGACGAGCUUGGACUUUGGGGGUUUGCUGGCCUUGUGGCCGGCUCCUCUCAAAUGAAUCAGCUUGCCAGUGUUUGGCGGCGUCACGGGUGUGAUAACUAUCUACGCUCGCGGUCGUCCACCAGGUAACCCUCAGCGAUGAAGGUUCAUUGGGGCUCAUAAACGUCUCUCCCCAGCGAGGACAACUUUUGAACGUUCGAUCUCAAAUCAGGUAGGACUACCCGCUGAACUUAAGCAUAUCAAUAAGCGGAGGAAAAGAAACUAACAAGGAUUCCCCUAGUAACUGCGAGUGAAGCGGGAAGAGCUCAAAUUUAAAAUCUGGCGUGCCUUUGGUCGUCCGAAUUGUAGUCUGGAGAAGCGUUUUCCGUGCUGGACCGUGUAC